UGGGAAUAUUGGACAAUGGGGGAAACCCUGAUCCAGCGACGCCGCGUGAGUGAUGAAGGCCUUCGGGUCGUAAAGCUCUUUUAGUGGGGAAGAAGGGAAACUUGACUGUACCCACAGAAAAAGCACCGGCUAACUCUGUGCCAGCAGCCGCGGUAAUACAGAGGGUGCAAGCGUUGUUCGGAAUUAUUGGGCGUAAAGCGCGUGUAGGCGGCCAUUUAAGUCUGGUGUGAAAUCCCUCGGCUCAACCGAGGAAGUGCAUUGGAUACUGAAUGGCUAGAGGAUGAGAGAGGAGAGUGGAAUUCCAGGUGUAGGGGUGAGAUCCGUAGAUAUCUGGAGGAACACCAGAGGCGAAGGCGGCUCUCUGGCCCAUUUCUGACGCUGAGACGCGAAAGCGUGGGGAGCAAAC
rnacentral:rRNA from 1 species